rnacentral:rRNA from 1 species
GAGUUUGAUCGUGGCUCAGGAUGAACGCUAGCGGCAGGCUUAACACAUGCAAGUCGAGGGGUAUAGUUUUUCGGAACUAGAGACCGGCGCACGGGUGCGUAACGCGUAUGCAACCUACCUUUUACAGGGGGAUAGCCCAGAGAAAUUUGGAUUAAUACCCCAUGGUAUAAUGAGUUGGCAUCAACACAUUAUUAAAGUCACAACGGUAAAAGAUGGGCAUGCGUCCCAUUAGCUUGUUGGUAAGGUAACGGCUUACCAAGGCUACGAUGGGUAGGGGUCCUGAGAGGGAGAUCCCCCACACUGGUACUGAGACACGGACCAGACUCCUACGGGAGGCAGCAGUGAGGAAUAUUGGUCAAUGGGCGCAAGCCUGAACCAGCCAUGCCGCGUGCAGGAUGACGGUCCUAUGGAUUGUAAACUGCUUUUGUACGAGAAGAAACACUCCGACGUGUCGGAACUUGACGGUAUCGUAAGAAUAAGGAUCGGCUAACUCCGUGCCAG